UCUUCCUUUUUCCCAAAAUCUCAAUCAUUCAUCAAGUUAGGUACAUUAAUUAGAUUAACUAGUCUCCUGGGAUCGACCUCGUACUUGCAUACAUUGUACUAUUCGUAAACUCUUGUGCACUUGUGAGAAAUAUUACAUCAGUAGCCUGUACCACUUUUCCUUUUUUUUGGAUUUGAGUUACUGGCUUCCUCCGUUCCCAUAUUUUCUGGGUCGUUGUGUCCUGCGUGGAAGUUCAGAAGUUUCCUGAUAUGUAGAAUAUCAGAGAUUAAGGGGAUAUAGGAUAUUCCAUUGUGUAUUGUGGGCACAAAAUCUCCACCACUUGUGUUAUUUUCUUCUUCCUGCAAAUUUUUCUCUUCUGCUGAGUUUUGUUGUGUGUUUGCUUGAUUUUCUUGAUCUUGAGAGUGUUGAAGUUUGUUCUUCAGAUGAGUCACAACAUUGAGAGUUGGUGUUUCCAAUUGAAGUCUACACCAUUCCAUGUUUUCUGUUGUCCUGUUUACUGUGUCAAUAUUCCUCAGCAUGCUCUUAUCUGUAUUAGUGUCCUAGACUGGCCCUUUUGAUUGAUGCGUGAUUAGGUUGAAACAUUUCUCUGCUUGUUGGUACAACUGUUUAAUAUCUUUAAGGAAGACCCUUUUAUCUCCUUUCGUAGAUAUUAGAAGUCUUGCAUGGUUGAGGAUAAUCUGUUUCAUCAGUUUGUUUGUCUCUCUCGCUCAUUUUGUGAUUGGCUGUUGAUUCUAUAGGAAAUAUCCACAUGUGAUGAUGCAUUUGAAUCCGCUAAUUCAACUUCCAAUUUCUUUUUGAGAGAUUCUUUCUCCUUCAAUACCUGUUCUGCAGUUUCAAUGAUCAAUUCAAAUUCUUUCUCCAUCAAGGUACUGUCAUCAGUUGCAGCAGCUUCUAGUUGCAUAGUAAGCCAUUGUAGGUCCCUUAUUGCCUUCUGAAGUUUGUUUCCAGAUAAGUUUGUGGUGUUUAAUUUUCGUGCUAUUGUUGAUGAAAACAUUUCUUCUUCUUACCUUAAAUUGUACGGGGAGGAAUUUAUUAUGUGGUUGUGCACUAAAAAAGCGUGUAGUUAAGAAUAGUUUGAAAACAUCCAUAAUAUAACAUUAGAACAAAGUUGAGUGCAACUGACUGAACUGUUUUUUUGAUAUAAACGGCAGGUAAAAUAGGUGACUCAACAUUUGUUGGUUCUAAAUGUUUUUUACUUACCAGAUAGAUGUGAAUGAGAAGGUGUUGUCUUCUGUAUUAUUGCAGUAGAUCAACGGCGUGAAAGUUGAUAGAAAGUGAGUUUGUAUACUCUGAUUGAGCAAUUGGUUGAAGACUUUCUACCUCAUUCUUAGAAGACUACGUUAUGAGACAUUGAACUUCUAUGGUGUCCAUGAGAUAUUUGGUGAAGAGAGGUCUACUUUAUGAGUACACAGAUUUUAUGAGCGUCUAAUUUUUGUUCUUUCAACUUUUAAUCUUGGCCCUUCAUUUUUUUGGCAUGUGCAAGAUGGUUUUUUAUGUUUUUGUCUUCUAGUGACCCUUAUCUUGUAUCUUGCACUGUCAUGAUGCAUGUUGUAUUAAUUGUUGAUUUGGCUCUCUAGAUGUCUAGUAGUCAAUAUUGUCAGAUUCAAUGAAUGGUUCUUUCUUAGUUGGGUCUUCAUUGUUAUAUUUAGUUCGUCGUUUGGUUUUUUAGCUGUGGUCCUCUUUGUUUUUUGGUAACCAUUAACUUGUCCUAAAUGAUGUAAAGAUGCAUUUUGGCUGUUAGUGGAUUAUUUGGUAUACGUGUUUUAUAAGCAAGUUUAGAAGCAUGGGGAACAAACACAUCAAAUCGAAGACAACAAAAACAGAUAAUUUAAUUAUCCCAUUGCAUAUGUUGUUGCUCAUAUUUGUUUGUGGCAACUAUACGACGACAAUCAUUUAACCAUAUCGGAAUUUUACACUCUUAUACUCUGCAUGAAUUCAAUAUGGUUGUCGAGAAGAAUUGUCUGAAAAUUUAAUAAAAAGAGGUAAAUAUAGCAGAACAAAGAGAUUAAUUGACUAAUGCCAAAUAAUUUAAGUCAUAAAGUAUAGUACAAAGCUAAUCCUGUAGUUGAACAUCAUUUUCCUGGCAAACACACAUAAUCUAAUUUCUAGAGCGUGAGUCGUUUUAAGCUGUGUUAACCAUUGGAAUUAAAGAAAAUGUAGUCAUUUAAAGACUUGUCUCCGUAUAUUAUUUAUAUAAGUAGAUAUUAUCUUACAAUAUCUUAGUAUCUUCAUAAGAAAAGCAUUGAUAACAUCUAGGGUGCGUUUGGUACAAGGGUAAUAGGGUGUAAUGGUUACAAGGGUAAUUAAAUUUUAAGUUUACUUGUGUUUGUUAUGUCAGUAUAAUUUUUACUCCUGUAAUAAAUUUUCAGUAAUUGAGCUUAUUUUUUAUACAUAAAGUUUACUGAUGGGGGACCUGGGUAAUAAAAAGUAAUAGGGUUUUACUCCAACCUAUUAUCCCGAAAAAAAACUCCUCACGAAGGAAUCCUGCGUUCGUUGCAGCGCUCAUCUCUCUCGAUCUGCACUCGUCUCUCUCGACGAUUUGCGUUCGUCUCUCUCGUUGCAACCUAGAAGCUCGAUCGAGGAUCUGCGCUUGUCUCCCUCAUUACAAGCACCCUCUUUCCAUACCAAUCGCACCUCUCUUUCGUCAGAUCAGAUUACAAAUCGAUAUGGAUGCCCAGUUGCAAACUGAAUGAUAAAUAUGAGGAUGAGGAUGGAACUAUAUUUGAUAGCUUUAUUGCAUUUACUUAUAACAAGAAAUAUAAGGGAUAACCCUACAGAUUCAUUGUUCUCGGGUAUUUGAAUCCCUUUAUAGGACAUGUAACUAUGGAGUUUGGAUACUUGAUUGAUUGUAGAUCUUAUUGUGAUUUAACUUCAAUGAAAAUUUCAUUAGUUACCCUUGAAAUUUGGAGGUUUUAACUUCUCAAAAAUCAGGAUUUUUUACUGUGAUGUUGAAUCCUACUUUAGGUACGUGUAUCCUAAUCAUUCUGCCUUGCUGACUGUUGUAUGGCUGCUGAAAAAUGUUUCCUUUGAUGUUAGAUUUACUGUUUCUGAGUAAUCUUUUGUUUUUUGAGACACUUUUUCUGCUCCUGUCGUCUGAUUAAGCGUCCCCUUGCCAGAAUUUUCAUCUGGAUAUGGUCUCCUCAACGGUAGGGAGGUGUCUUUUUUAUGUUGUAUAUAUUCCUUGUUCUCUAAGUACUCAAUUUGCUAGACUGUAUUUAGUUGUUCUCUAAUGGCCAAUGGGGUAGCAGAGGGAGAUGAUUAAAUGUAAGAGGAACAUUGAAUUUUGAUUGUCCUGUCUUAUUAAGAAGAUAUGUCAUUGAUGCUUCAAUGUGCCUUUGAAAGGAUGAAAACUUUUCAUUUUUCUUUGCCGUGUAAAUGCUUGUUGAAAAACAAAGAAGGCAUUCUGUGUUGAAUAUGGAUAUUUUGUUAUGUGAAAACAGCUCAAUUCAGUAUUUUCCUUUGUAAGAAAGCUUUUGUUGGUCAGCAGCUUGUUUGCUUGAGAAAAAUUGCGUCAAUUGAGGUUUCCUUGAGUAUUCAUAUAUGACCUGUUCUUCAUGAAAAUGAAGAGAGACUCUCUCUCACCCAUGACACUACACAUCAUCUAACUCUAAAAAGGCUUCUUGAUAGACUAUGAAACACAGAAAACUUUUUAAAAUGCUUAUCAGGUUUGUUUUUUAACUUUGAUUUUGGUCGAUAAUCUCAAGUUAACUAUUCUGAAAAAUUACAUUCAGGAAGACUUAAUGUACCACCAUGGAUGAUAAUUACUUGAGUUUUGUUUUCUGUUAGUUGGUUCUAAUCACGAUCAGGAUGUCAAUGAUUUAAGAACCAUAUGAAAAUUUAUGUCAACAGACAAGUGAUUGAUUGUUUGGUGAAUUUGAAAUUGAGUGUCUUGACUUGAGAAAAAAGGAGGUCAAAGGAAAAUGUCUUUGACACCACUCUAAAGUUGUUCUAAUAACUGCUCCUAUUAAAAAAUGACUGCUGAAACCCAGUUUUGAAAUUCACCUAAUCAACCAACCUUUGCUUAUAUAUACCACUUGAGUCACAACCUCUUAGGAACACAGCCUUAGGAGCAUUAGAAAGUACUCUAAGCUUCACCCAUUUUUGCUUGCAAUAUCUCUUGGUCUUCUCUGAAAGCAUAAAGAAGACAGACCAAAAAAAAAAUAAAAAAAAAUGGGUGCUUCGCAUUUCCAAUCACUAGCAUUUAUGGAACUUAUUCUCUUCUCAUUUGUCACAUUAUGUCUCCUUCCUCAGCCUGCUCUUGCCAUGACCCGACACUACAAGUUUGAUGUAUGUCACAUAAUGUUGUGCAGUGUCACAAUAUACAAUUAGACUAUAUUGUCUUUUCUUUAAUUCCUUGUGUUGUUUUGUUUGUAAUAAGUGAUAUGAGUGGUAAAUGGUCUGAAUCUGUUUGGGUUAUUUUACAGGGAUUGUGUUUCUUUUUCUAGUUUUUCUAGUUUGGGCAUGAUAUGGCUCGUCUCCCUUUGACAAUGAGGCAAAAAGGUUUACUUGCACUAGCAUUGUGGGUUAGACUUCGAACUUUGAUGAUGGUGUACUACUAUUCAUCCAUGUACUUCAUACAAGAAAGGAAGAAAUACUUUAUACUCACUAAACCCUUUGUCAAAAGGCCAUUUGACAAAGGAAUGAAAAACAUCAACGAUCUUCUUAAAGACGAUGUUGCUGCCGUUGAACAAAUUAGAAUGGACAAGCGAACUUUUUACAUAUUGUGUGGAAUGUUGAGAACCAUGGUAGGACUUAAAGAUACCAAAAACAUGUUAGUUGAAGAGAUGGUUGCACUUUUCUUGAACAUUUUGGGACAUGAUACAAGGAAUAGGAUGAUUAAGAAUACGAGGCAUCGUUUUCAAGAGACAAUAAGUAGGUUGUUUCAUAAGGUAUUACAAGGCGUGUUACGUCUGCAUGAAGUGUUACUAAAGACUCCGGACCCUGUUCCUGAAAAUUGCACAGACAAUAGAUUGAAUAGAAUUGCUUGGGAGCUUUAGAUGGCACAUAUAUGAAGUUGAGACUUCCAAAAGGUGCAAAAACAAAAUAUCGAACAAGAAAAGAUGAACUAGCAACCAAUGUGCUAUUAGUUUGUACAAGGGAUAUGCAAUUUGUCUAUGCUUUGCCAGGCUGGGAAGGGUCUGCUGCUGAUAGUAGGAUCUUAAGGGAUGCUAUUAGUAGGCGUAAUGCCCUAAAUAUUCCAAAUGGGUAUUAUUACCUAGUCGAUGCUGGUUAUACCAACGGUAAUGGAUUCUUGGCACCUUACAGAGGACAAAGGUAUCAUCUAAAUGAGUGGAGGGAAGGACGUCAACCAGUGACAAAAGAAGAAUUCUUUAAUAUGAAACACUCUGCAGCAAGGAAUAUAAUUGAAAGGUGGAUUGGAUUGCUAAAAAUGCGGUGGAAAAUACUGCGUAACACUUGCUUCUAUGGGAUAAGCACACACGCAUACAUAAUUUCUGCUUGUUGUUUGCUCCACAACCUGAUUCGUAUAGAGAUGAGGUUUGAUCCGAUUGAAGCUCAGCUUGAUACAGAAUUUGGGCAAACUUUUCUAAAUGAUUAUGAGCAUGGAGAACACAUAGGAAUUGUUGAGCCUUCAAAUGAGUGGACUGCUUGGAGGGAUCAACUUGCAAAUGAGAUGUUCAAUACUUGGAGAGCUAAUAGAGUGCAAACUUAGAACUCUUCAACUGAAUUUGACUUUUAAUUUGCUUUAAAAUGUGUUAGAACUACCUUAUUUGUACUAAAUUUUAAGUCUUCAAGUUUGUUUCAUCGUGUUAGGAGUACUUUAUUUGUAUUGAAUUAUAAGACAAUCAUGUUGAUCUAGUGAUGAAAUGAUUUGAAAAGUGUACAGGAAGGGUCGAAUGAACAGAUUUACAUGUGGUAUGCCACUUGUGCUGCUUACAAUGUUGGCAUUUUUCUGGUUGUCUUUAUUGUUUAUAAUGUUGGCCUUUUUUUUAUUUGUCUUUAUUGUUUAUUUGUUUAUCGAUUUUACUGUUAUUCAGCCCAUUUUUUUAAGUACACAUGAUGAUUUUACUGUUAUGCUUUUUGGCUUGUUUUUCUUAAAUUCAAACACCAGGAGUUUGACAGAUCUAAUAACUACAAUUCUUCAAAGCAUGGUCACCGAGAGUGUAGAUAAAGGAUCAAAGAAAAGAUGGAAUUCAGAAGAGGAUCAAUGUUUGACUAAUUCAUUGAUCACCAUGCAUCGAGAAAACAAGUUCAAAGGGGAAGGCGGGUUCAAGAAUGGGUAUGUAGCUUACUUCCUAUAGGAGAUGAGGAAGAAAAUUCUUGGCGUCGAUGUUACAGAGAAGAACAUUGAUUUUAGACCAGGCUACUUAAAAAGACAAUUUACUGCUAUAUAUGAAAUCAAAGAAAAGGGAAGUGGCUUUGGGUGGGAUGAUGAAAGGAAGAUGGUGACCGGUGAUAAGACUGUUUUUGAUGAAUGGGUCAAGAGUCAUUCUUUUGCGAAGGGGUUGUAUAUGAAAUCAUGGCCAUUGUAUGAUAAGUUUGAGGAGAUUUUUGCCAAAGAUAGGGUUAUAGGGACUAAUGCAGCCACUGCUGCUGAUAGUGUUUCUCAAUCUAUUGCUACACCCAAUGAAGAAGUUCCUGCAACCACUGCAACUUCUAGUUCAACAAGAAAACCAGCUUAUAAGAAAAAGUUAGAAGAGAUAGAAAGUUCACAAGUUGAACUUUCUAGCAAGGUGGAGGCGGCCUUUGCUAUUGGGAAUGAACAACUCUCUCAAAUACUAGCUGCCAUUACUACUGGUUCAAAACCUGUAGAUAGGACACAAUUGAAAUAUGAUAUUGGACAAUUACCAGGUCUACAGACAUUGCAAUUGGUGUAAGCAAUGAAGAAGAUGACUCUUGAAGAUAUUGAAAACUUCUAUGCUA